UUGUAGGAAGGCGCUGUUAUUUCCUGUUCGCUUAGCUGGUUGUUGUUCAGUUUGGAGUGUGAGGCUGAAAAGGGAGAGAUUGGGAAAGCAAAGGCUGUUUAGAAAUUUCAAGUGCCUUCAUGUUCUCAGUGCUUAUAAAGGAAUAAGCUGGAUACUGAAGGCGAAGCUGUCAUGUUUGAUUUUUACCUCGUGGUUUGUAACACGUCAGUUCCUGGUGAGACGUAGUCUGCAUCCGGCUUUUGUUUGAUGCCUUUGCAAACUGCUGAACAUCACAAGAAGGAAAACAAGGGAAAAUAUCCUCUCUCUGGGACCCAUUCCCAUGUUUCUCAUGAACCCAAAGUUACUCUUCCUGAAAUAAAAUGUCUAUAAAAUGAAAACUGAGGGAAUAAAGAAUACGUUGGGCUUUAUGCCAAAGUAACCAGGAGCUUUAUAUUGCCCAGAUGUGUAUAGUCGGAUACCAAAGGAUGCAGAUGACUUACUACCAAGGGAGAAUGGCAAGUUUAAUCUUCAGCUAUGACAAUGAUUUGUAAUCUGGAAUUCUUAAAAAUCAUCUUUCAUCAGUGAAUCAACAUGUGAAGUCGAAAUAAUCAGACUGCUUCAUUUAAAGUUUGAACAAUAUGAAAAUUAAGAUACAGUGCAUACCGGGCAGGAAUCACAUUCGCUGGAGGAAUAUCAUGAAUCAAGAUAAAAUCCUGACGUUCCUGUUCCACAUCGAUAAUUUUUCACUCCCCUGAGCACACAAUGCACACUUGUAAACAACAUAAAGCAGCGUAUGGUGAUAAAUUUCAAAGGAACAGACCCCAGUGAGGACAGAGGUGUUUUCAACCCAAUGCCUGCCAUAAAAACUAAAGC